GGCCGCGGGAAUUCGAUUACUGCUCANUAACACGUGGAUAACCUGCCCUUGGGACCGGCAUAACCCCGGGAAACUGGGGAUAAUUCCGGAUAACGCAUAUUUGCUGGAAUGCUUUAUGCGUCAAAAGGAUUCGUCUGCCCAAGGAUGGGUCUGCGGCCUAUCAGGUAGUAGUGGGUGUAAUGUACCUACUAGCCAGCGACGGGUACGGGUUGUGAGAGCAAGAGCCCGGAGGUGGAUUCUGAGACACGAAUCCAGGCCCUACGGGGCGCAGCAGGCGCGAAAACUUUACAAUGCGGGAAACCGUGAUAAGGGGACACCGAGUGCCAGCAUCAUAUGCUGGCUGUCCGGAUGUGUAAAAUACAUCCGUUAGCAAGGGCCGGGCAAGACCGGUGCCAGCCGCCGCGGUAACACCGGCGGCCCGAGUGGUGAUCGUGAUUAUUGGGUCUAAAGGGUCCGUAGCCGGUUUGGUCAGUCCUCCGGGAAAUCUGAUAGCUCAACUAUUAGGCUUUCGGGGGAUACUGCCAGACUUGGAACCGGGAGAGGUAAGAGGUACUACAGGGGUAGGAGUGAAAUCUUGUAAUCCCUGUGGGACCACCUGUGGCGAAGGCGUCUUACCAGAACGGGUUCGACGUUGAGGGACGAAAGCUGGGGGCACGAACCGGAUUAGAUACCCGGGUAGUCCCAGCCGUAAACGAUGCUCGCUAGGUGUCAGGCAUGGCGCGACCGUGUCUGGUGCCGCAGGGAA
rnacentral:rRNA from 1 species